CUUCGGAAGUGGAAAGCGAACUGCUCAGUAACACGUAGCUAACCUGCCCUUAGGCCAAGGAUAUUGUCGGGAAACUGACUUGAAUACUUGAUAGAAGACAUACCCUGGAAUGAUCUGUCUUUAAACUAAGGAUGGGGCUGCGGCAGAUUAGGUAGUUGGCGGGGUAAUGGCCCACCAAGCCUGUGUUCUGUAAGGGCUCUUAGCGGAGAGGCCCUGAGAGGGAAUCUGAGACACUAUUCCCAGCCCUACGGGGUGCAGCAGUUAGGAAUAAUCUACAAUGCGCGCAAGCGUGAUAGUUUGAGCCAGAGUGCGUUUCUAUUGAAACGCUUUUGCUGAAUGUAAAAAGUUUGGUGAAUAAGGACUGGGUAAGACUAGUGCCAGCCGCCGCGGUAAUACUAGCGGUCCAAGUCGCAGCCACAUUUAUUGGGUCUAAAACAUCCGUAGCUUGCUUAGUAAGCUUCUUGUGAAAUUCUGUGUCUUAAGCACAGAGCUGGCAAGAAAUACUGCUGAGCUAGAGACUGGGAGACGUAGAGAGUAUGUUCAUAGUAGUAGUAAAAUGCUUUAAUCAUGAACAGACUUACAAUAGCGAAGGCACUCUACGAGAACAGUUCUGACAGUCAGGGAUGAAGGCUAGGGGCGUAAAAGGGAUUAGAUACCCCUGUAAUCCUAGCAGUAAACACUGCACACUAAACAUCGGUUCCUCCUCGAGAGGCAUCGGUGCUGCAGGGAAGCCGAAGAGUGUGCUACCUGGGAAGUAUAGUCGCAAGGCCGAAACUUAAAGAAAUAGGCGGGGAGACACUACAACGGGUGACGCGUGCGGUUCAAUUAGAUUACACACUGUGAACCUCACCAGGAUCGACUGCAGGAUGAAGGUCAGUCUGAAGGGCUUACCUGACACGCAGAGAGGAGUUACAUAGCCGACGUCAGCCUGUGCUGUGAGGUGACUUGUUAAAUCAAGUAACAGGCAAGACCCUCGUGCAUAUUUGUGAUUACCAUAUGCAGAUUGCCCGUGUAAAUGGGAUGAAAGUGGGGGCUACGUUAGGUGGUACAACCCGACUACCCUGGGCGACACGCGCGCGUCAAUGGUGAAUACAAUGGGAUGCAAUUCUGUAAAGAAGAGCUAAUCUCCAAAGUUCAUCUCAGUCCAGAUUGAGGUUUGCAACUCAACCUCAUGACGCUGGAAUCCGUAGUAAUCGGGUGUUAGCAGCGCCCGGUGAAUAGGUCACUGUCUCUUGCACUCACUGCCCGUCAAACCAACCGAGUUUAUUUAGAAUGAAACUUUCGAGGAGAAUUUUGGGUAGACAAGGUAGGUUAAGUCGUCACAA
rnacentral:rRNA from 1 species